rnacentral:lncRNA from 1 species
UGUCCCCCCCCAGGUGCGGCCCCCAGCUGCGCUUACCUGGUGGCGCUGCUGGUGCUGCUGACGUCGGUGGGCGGGGCCCUGCUCUGGCUCACCUUGAGGGCCAGGUGUGUCCCAGCUCACCUGGACAACCCCAGGGCCCCCAGCGCCAUUUACCUGCCCAGGAGAGCCUCACCUGGUGAGACUGAGGCGCUGCAGCUGAUGGACGACGCCCCCUGAACUCACCUGGUGGAGCUCACCUGGAGCUCACCUGGAACCCCCCACCUGGUGGAGCUCACCUGGACCCUGGAGCUCACCUCGAAUCCCUCACCUGGAACCCCUCACCUGGAGGAGCUCACCUGGAGGAGCCUGGAACCCCUCACCUGGAAUCCCUCACCUGGAGGAGUCUGGAGCUCACCUGGA